UAGGUUGUGGCUCAGAGGUAGAGCGCUCGCCUACCAUGUGUGAAACACUGAGUUCAAUCCUCACCAACACAU
rnacentral:tRNA from 1 species